CCAGUAGACGAAGCACAUUUUGUGCACGUUGGCUGACGUUGGUUUCCCUCUGCAGCUCACAGUAGCGUAGGUAGUUUGCAUAAGGGAGUUGCUUGCAUUUUCCUCAACGGUGUGUCACGCACUACCUGAAGUCAUGGCCGACCAGGUGGCCGCCAUGUGCGAUCAGCUCACAAAGGCUGUGCUGGUGAUGAUGGACGCAGAAACGAGCCAAGUUUACCGGCUAGAGGCCCUAAAGUUUUGUGAAGAUUUUAAAGAGUCAAGCAGCCUCUGCAUCCCAUGUGCUCUACAAUUAGCGGAUAAAACCAAGCCAGCUGUAGUGAGACACUUUGGGCUGCAAACAUUGGAGCAUGUCAUUAAGUUCAGGUGGAAUAACAUGCCACAAGAGGAGAAAGUGCAGAUAAAGGAGUGUGCCAUGCAGCUUUUAUCCAGGGGUACCCAUUCCAUCCUGGAGGAGGAGAGCCACGUGAAGGAUGCUCUGUCAAGAAUCAUAGUGGAAAUGAUCAAGAGGGAGUGGCCUCAACACUGGCCUGACAUGCUGAAAGAGAUGGAGUCCCUAACCAGCCAGGGGGACGUGCAGACAGAGGUGGUGAUGUGGAUUCUCCUGAGGCUUGCAGAGGAUGUGAUCACCUUCCAGACGUUGCCCAACCAGAGGCGCAGAGACAUCCAGCAGACGCUCACCCAAAACAUGGACAACAUCUUCAGUUUCUUGUUGGCGGUUUUGCACAUCCACGUAGACAGCUAUCACAAAGUGAAAGGUCUGCCUGGUCAUGAACUGAAGGUCAGAGCUCACUGUCGAGUUGCCGUGGCGACGCUGAACACACUUGCAGGCUACAUCGACUGGGUUUCGUUGACCCACAUCACCUCUGGAAACGGUCAUCUACUGGAGAUGCUGUGUCUGUUGCUGAGUGAGCCGGAGCUGCAGCUUGAGGCUUCAGAGUGUCUACUAAUCGCUUUGAACCGAAAGGGCAAACUGGAGGAGAGGGAGCCAUUUAUGCUGCUCUUCGAUGACGUGGCCAUUCAGUGCAUCCUCUCCGCAGCUCAGUCAGCUGAUGGACCGUCGACGUCUAUGAAUUCCUCUGAAUCCUUAGCAGGGGAGGUGGUGGAGCGCCGUUACGUCUUCCUGAAGAGGCUCUGUCAGGUGCUGUGCGCUUUGGGAGUCCAGCUCUGCUCACUGGUGGGGUCCGAUGUAAACGUUGAAGUCCCUGCAAAUCUUAGCAAGUACACCGAAGCUUUAUUAGCCUUCACUACACAUCCCAGUCAGUUUUUAAAAUCCUGCACUCUGGCAACAUGGGGAGCUUUAUUCAAACACGAGGUUCUGUCAAAAGAGGCUGUGGUUGUGCAGAUGGCUGUCAAUUACCUCAAAGUGUCCAUGACUAACUUUGUCAAGACCGGGUUUCCCUCCCAAAACGAUAAUCCCAGCUCCGACUACUCCCGCAUGGACUUCCACAGCGAUGAGGACUUCCACUUUUUCUUCUACUCUUUCCGAGGACAGCAGGGAGACGUUUUGAAGAUUGUGAGUCGCAUCGUCCCUCUGGAGGCGUUCCAGACUGCAGCAGACUGGUUGCAUUACCAGAUUGCCUGUCCGAUUGAUCCCGGACAAUCCGCCUCGAAGAGCUCCAGGGGUUUGUGCUCCCCCAAGUCUCCAUCAGUGGUCCAGUGGGAUGCGAUGACUGUUUUCAUGGAGUGUGUGGUGUGGCAGAUCCUCAAAACUCUCCCAGAAGAGAAGUUGCCCAUAGAUCAGAGCAUGGAGCUGCUGCAGGCGGUGCUGAACUACGACACCAAAGACCCGCUGAUCCUCUCCUGCCUGCUCACCACCGUCUCUGUCCUCCUUCCCUUCCUCGUCCACAGACAACAGCUGGUGCCCCAAGUUCUCUUUAAGUUAUUUAAAACAUUGACGUUUGAAUUUGAUCAGGAAAAUAAGGUACCUCGAACUAAAUCUGUGAAGAAUGUGAGGAGACACGCCUGCUCCUCCAUCAUCAGGAUCUGCCGGGAUUACCCACAGUUCAUCUUGCCCAGCUUUGACAUGUUUUACAGUAACGUGAAGAAGCUACUGUCAAGUGAUGCCUUACAGACCUGCUUGGAGAGGGCCUCCCUGGUGGAAGCCCUGGUGCUCAUCAGCAACAAGUUUCAAGACUUUGAAAAGCAGAAGGCGUUUCUAGAUGAGCUGCUGGCUCCUGUCCUUGCAGAGUGGACGUCAGAGGAGAUGAGGAGUGUGCUCUGGGAUCCAGUCAAGUUCUUGUCUUUUGUUGGGGCUGAUCAGGUAGUCGCUGAGCAAGAGGCAGUAACAAAUGUGGCAAGCCUUAAAAGGGCACAGCUGAGUUUCUGCUUGAGCGCCAUGCUGUCGGUGGUUAAGCGAGCGCGCUGGCCUGCAGAUGUGGAAGAAGCCAAGUCUGGGGGGUUUGUUGUGGGUCACGACCUCAACGGAGCCCCCAUCUACAGAAACCCCUGCAGCGCACAGUUCCUGGCCUUUAUGCCCAACCUGCUGGCACUAAUCAGGACUCAGAACAGUCUCUUCAUGCCAGAGAAUAUUGCUCGUCUCAGUGAGACUUUAGUCAGAGCCUACGACUUGAUGGACAUGGAGAAGAACAUAGUCAUUGGUCUCCCUCAGCUUCCACAGGAUGUGUAUGACUCGCCCGUGUAUAGGAGCAACCUGGAGCGGAUGCAGGGGUUUCUGGGAACGUUAUACGACAACUGCUUCACUUUGCUCGGAAGCGCAGGCGCAUCCCUGCAGAAGGAAUUCUACACCAUUGACGGGCUAGCUGAACUAAUCGCCGGCUCUGCUUUCGUCUCACUCGAUCAAGUGCCUGACCACAGACUCCGUUCCAUAAUUCGUCUGUUUAUGAGACCACUUGUGGUUUCAUGCCCUUCAGAAUACAGCGACAGUCUGCUGCGCCCCCUGCUGGCACCUCUGUUUGCUUACAUGAUGCAGAGACUCAGCAUGAAGUGGCAAGUCAUCAGCCAGAGAGCAUCUGUCGAUGGUGAUGAUGAGGAGGAGCAGGUGGCCUGCCAGAAGAGCGAGGUGACGCAGGAGAUGUUGGAGGAGCAGCUGGUGCGCCUGGUCACCAAAGAAGUCCUGGAUCUUCUCAACGUGAGCUGUGUCUCCAAAAAAGUGGCUGAACCGGCAGCAAGCAAGGAGGAAAAUGGUGACGAAGACAUGAUGAUGGAUUCAGUGCAGCCCGCGUCCGUCCCAGAAGGCCUGACCGAGCUGGGGAAGUGCCUCAUGAAACACGAGGACGUCUGCAUGUUGCUGCUGACGCUGUCCUUCACUUCACUGUCAUGGAAGGACACCGCUAACUGUCAUCGCACGGCUUCCAUGGUCUGCUGGACUCUUCUCAAACAGGUUGCAGCUGGUAAUCUACUUCCUGAAGCGGUCACAUGGUUCUUCACCAGUGUUCUUAGGGCGCUUCAGAUUCACGGGCAGCAUGACCAGUGCAACUUAACGCUCUCUCAGCUUGCUAUGGUCAUCUAUGAAAACCUGCGGCCGCGCUACGAGGAGCUGAGAGGAGUGAUGAUCCAAAUUCCAAACAUCAACAUUCAGGCUCUGGACCAGUUCGAUCAAAAGCUCAUGGACCCCAGCGGUCCGAAACUCACAGAGAAAAAGAAGAAAGACCUGUUCAGGAAGCUCAUUGCAGGAACCGUUGGGAAAGCUCUGUGUGAGCAGUUCAGGAAGGAGGUACAUAUCCGCAAUCUUCCGUCGCUCUUUAAGAGGCCCAGACAAGACAAAGAUGUCCUGGACAGUGAAGCGCUGGGCCUGGCGUCUCUGUUUUCCCCCGAGAACAGUGCUCUGUAGAGACACUUUUUAACUGGACUUAUUAACAACUUUAGUGCACAAACUACAUUUCCCAUCAUCCUCCUCGCUCUGCACAUCAAAUGUUUGUCUUUGAGGACCAGCAUCGAUGAACCAGCACGCACUACAUUCCUUCGUUGUCCUGGAUGAAUUGUUUUAAAUGUGUUGUAUGGAUUCCAUUCAAAUAUAGCUCUUUUUACAGAUAACCAUAUUCUUGGAUUUUAUUUUUCUUUAAUCAUAAGCAAAACUGCCUUCAUACGACUAUAAAAAAGUCUAAACCAACUUUAGCAUUUAUUGAAAAGUUAUUAGUUUUUUGUAUGGAUAUACAUUUAGUGUGAACUAAUUUCUCACUACAGUGUUCUGUCUGAAGUUGUGUUUUAAGUCUAAUCUGUGUUUAUUUUUAGAUUUGUAUUGACAUAACUGUUUUUAUUAAAAUAAAGUAAUGAAUGAUA